CCUACGGGUGGCAGCAGUGGGGAAUAUUGCACAAUGGGGGGAACCCUGAUGCAGCAACGCCGCGUGGGUGAAGAAGUACUUCGGUAUGUAAAGCCCUGUCAGCAGGGAAGAAAAUGACGGUACCUGACCAAGAAGCCCCGGCUAACUACGUGCCAGCAGCCGCGGGAAUACGUAGGGGGCAAGCGUUAUCCGGAUUUACUGGGUGUAAAGGGAGCGUAGACGGCAAGGCAAGUCUGGAGUGAAAGCCGGUGGCUCAACCACGGGACUGCUUUGGAAACUGGGUUGCUGGAGUGCAGGAGGGGUAAGCGGAAUUCCUAGUGUAGCGGUGAAAUGCGUAGAUAUUAGGAGGAACACCGGUGGCGAAGGCGGCCUGCUGGACUGCAACUGACGUUGAGGCCCGAACGCGUGGGGAGCAAACAGGAUUAGAUACCCGAGUAGUC
rnacentral:rRNA from 1 species